rnacentral:ncRNA from 1 species
UUUGUGAAAAAUCUACUAGGUCUAAUAAGUAAAUGAAGUUACUCCAGGGAUAACAGCGUAAUCCUAUUUGAGAGCCCAUAUCAAAAAUUAGGGUUUACGACCUCGAUGUUGGAUCAGGACAUCCAAAUGGUGCAACUGCUGUUAAAGGUUCGUUUGUUCACCGAUUAAAGUCCUACAUAAUCUGAGUUCAGACCGGAGAAAUCCAGGUCGGU